rnacentral:rRNA from 1 species
GAAUUCGCCCUUAGAGUUUGAUCCUGGCUCAGGAUGAACGCUGGCGGCGUGCUUAACACAUGCAAGUCGAACGGAGUUAUUCAUUAGCUUGCUAGAGAAUAACUUAGUGGCGAACGGGUGAGUAACGCGUGGGCAACCUGCCUUUCGGAGCGGAAUAGCCUCGGGAAACCGGGAGUAAAGCCGCAUAACAUUGCUUUUUCGCAUGAAGGAGCAAUCAAAACUCCGGUGCCGAAAGAUGGGCCCGCGUCCUAUUAGCUGGUUGGUGAGGCAACGGCUCACCAAGGCGACGAUAGGUAGCCGGUCUGAGAGGGCGAACGGCCACACUGGAACUGAGACACGGUCCAGACUCCUACGGGAGGCAGCAGUGGGGAAUAUUGCGCAAUGGGGGCAACCCUGACGCAGCAAUACCGCGUGAGUGAAGAAGGUUUUCGGAUCGUAAAGCUCUGUUAUUGGGGAAGAAGAAGUGACGGUACCCAAUGAGGAAGUCCCGGCUAAUUACGUGCCAGCAGCCGCGGUAAUACGUAAGGGACGAGCGUUGUCCGGAAUCACUGGGCGUAAAGGGCGCGUAGGCGGUUUUGUAAGUCAGAUGUGAAAGGUACCGGCUCAACCGGUGACGUGCAUUUGAAACUGUAAGACUUGAGUACUGAAGAGGCAAGCGGAAUUCCUAGUGUAGCGGUGAAAUGCGUAGAUAUAUGGAAGAACACCAGUGGCGAAGGCGGCUCUCUGGUCUGCAACUGACGCUGAGGCUCGAAAGCAUGGGUAGCGAACAGGAUUAGAUACCCUGGUAGUCCAUGCCGUAAACGAUGAGUGCUAGGUGUUGGGGACUUUCCGGUUCUCAGUGCCGCAGCUAACGCAAUAAGCACUCCGCCUGGGGAGUACGACCGCAAGGUUGAAACUCAAAGGAAUUGACGGGGGCCCGCACAAGCGGUGGAGCAUGUGGUUUAAUUCGAAGCAACGCGAAGAACCUUACCAGGUCUUGACAUCCUGCGCCAAGCCUAGAGAUAGGCCGUUCCCUUCGGGGACGCAGAGACAGGUGGUGCAUGGCUGUCGUCAGCUCGUGUCGUGAGAUGUUGGGUUAAGUCCCGCAACGAGCGCAACCCUUGUCACUAGUUGCCAGCAUUGAGUUGGGCACUCUAGUGAGACUGCCGGUGACAAACCGGAGGAAGGUGGGGAUGACGUCAAGUCAUCAUGCCCCUUAUGACCUGGGCUACACACGUGCUACAAUGGGCAGUACAACGAGAAGCGAACCCGCGAGGGCAAGCGGAUCUCUUAAAGCUGUUCUCAGUUCGGACUGCAGGCUGCAACUCGCCUGCACGAAGCUGGAAUCGCUAGUAAUCGUGGAUCAGCACGCCACGGUGAAUACGUUCCCGGGCCUUGCACACACCGCCCGUCA